rnacentral:RNase_P_RNA from 1 species
AGAGUCGAUCGGACAGUCGCUGUCUCUUUUUGUUCCGGCAAGAAGGGAGGGAGGAAAGUCCGGGCUCCAUAGGGCAAAGUGCCAGGUAACGCCUGGGAGGCGCGAGCCUACGGAAAGUGCCACAGAAAACAACCGCCUAAGCGCUUCGGUGCCGGUAAGGGUGAAAAGGUGCGGUAAGAGCGCACCGCACGGCUGGUAACAGUCCGUGGCUAGGUAAACCCCACUGGGAGCAAGACCAAAUAGGGACCCUCUGGCGUGGCCCGCGCUGGGUCCGGGUAGGUUGCUAGAGGCAGUCAGCGAUGGCUGUCGUAGAGGAAUGGCUGUCCUCGACAGAACCCGGCUUACAGAUCGACUCUCCAA